UGCGUCAUCAUCAUCUAGGAAAGCAGAACCACUGCGCUAGCUUGUGGGGGAGAACAGGAAGUCUCGUUCACGAAGCAAAAGUUAAGCGUUAAACCCAAACCACAGUCACUUGGAGGCACUUCUCUCUUUAUGGAGACAAAGAACAACACUUUAUAAACCAGUCUGAUAAAAACCAUUAUAAAGGGAGUCCAAAGAAUAUAAAAAUAAAAGGCUUUCUAUUCUAUUCUAUUUCUAUUCUAAAAAUGUUAAAAUUGACCAUCAAUCAAUAAUUCAAAUACAUUUGACAUUAGAAAUAUAGUCGUUUUUCUAAAAUCUGCUAAGUUAACCUGAUGGAAGAUCUUAAAAGUGUCUUCCUUUCAUGGUUAAUCAAGAUCAACUUUAAGAAGCCCAAGAAAAUGUAGCAUUUGGAUUAUAGUUGAGUAGGCUACAUGAAUAUAAAUCACCAAAACAGUGUGUGUGUGUUUAUAUAUACUUGUGUGUGUAGUCCGUGCGUGUGUGUGUUAACAUCUGCGUGUGUGUGUUCAUAUCUGAGUAAGUGUGUGUGUUCAUAUCUGCGUGUGUGUGUGUGUGUGUGUGUGUGUGUGUGUGUGUGUGUGUGUGUGUGUUCAUAGAUGCGUGUGCGGGUGUACAUGUGUCUGUGUGUAUAUUUGAGUGUUUAUAAUAAGGUGUGUGUGUGCACGUGGCGCGUGUUCAUAUGUACGUGAGUGUGUGUGUGUUCAUAUAUAUGUUUGUUUGUUUGUGUUCAUAUACGUGUGUGUGUGUGUGUGUAUAUGUGUUUGUAUUCCUGUAUAGGCCUAUGUGUUUGUGUAUGUGUGUUUAUAUAUGCGUCUGUGCAUGCGCGCAUGUUUAUAUAUGUGUGUCUUUAUUAGGGCUGGCAGUUUAACGUUAUUAACAGCAUUAACGCAAACCAAUUUUAACUGCGUUCAUUUUUUUAACGCGCGAUUAACGCUCUUUUGGCUUGCCAAACGUUGUAGUUGUUUCACCUGCUGUCUAGCAACAACUAGUCACAUUAGAAAAACUACAACAACAUACCGGAUCUAGCUACACCGGAAACCAAACAACAAGAACGCCGCACAAACUUGUUGGGGCAAGCAAGGAUACGGAGCGGGUGAAAAACUCCUUUAAAGUGUCUGUGUGUUUGUGUGUCACUCUGUUCAAGCCUGAUUGUUUAGACUGGGACCUGGGGUUAUACCACGAACCUCGCUGAACAUACCCAGGCUUUCUUGGGGAAACCUGGCUCGACAGCCGCAACUCGCAGUCAGAGUUAAAUGGUUCCACGACGCUCACUUUAGAUUCAAUUAGUUGAACCAGGUUUUCCGCUUUAGGUUCAAUGCGCGUUCACAAAAGGGGCGUUUCUCGCGUCAUUUGACUCUCUCUUAUGCAAAAUUAAUCGAUCGAGAGCGGUGUAUUUCACCCAAGGCGAGCAGUGUAUUAUUAUGAACUCCUACGAGGAAUUCAAAGUUCAAAUCACAGCCAAGGGGAACACGGUUGCCCAUAAUAUGGCUAGGGUGGCGUGCUGGCAAAAAAUAGCCGACCGUGUUAAUUCGAAAGUGAAAAGAUUCUGCAUAUUGUCUGAAAAAUAUCAUGCAUCAUCAUGCCUUUUAUCCCCAUAGAUGUGUUGCCAGCACGCUCCUACGAACAUGGGGCCGUCAAAAAUAAAUAUUAAAAUAUUAUUCAAUGCGGGAAGUUGUAAGCAUCCAUUUGAAUAAUUUCAGGUGAAUCUAGCCUAUGAUUUGCAAUGACCAUAGGCUCCAACCUUUAGUCACAUGUUGAUUACCUGUAGCAAAUAAAAAGAAAACCCAAAUGAAUACGACUGGGAGGGGGACCGCUCCACCGCCCUUCACCACUUCGGAGGAGCUGGCUCUCGCCAAUAACGAAGGUCUGCCGAUGAUGGUGGAAGGGGGGAUGACCUCUGACCCCACUGCCUCGACUUCCAAGGCGUUUGUAAUGAGUAUGUAUUCAUGUAUUGGCAAUGGACAUAAAUAAUUGUCAUGCUAAUCAAAUGUGAAAUGAUUGAGUGUAAAUUAAUUGUGUCAUUUUUAGUUUAAGGUACAAACAUUAUUUUGGAGGAGCCGCCGACAAUCCAUCUCCAAUCAGAGGAGACUGUCGGCCUGUGACUCCAGGGCGACUAUGGAGGGGAUUUUUCUUAACAAUUCUCACAGCUAUAAUAUGAAUUUGUAGAAUAAAAAAAGCCUAGGCCUAAUUGUGUCACUGACAUAGCAGUUAUGUAAGGGAUAAUGGACAACACGGCGCUUGACUAUCCAAGGUUAAUGUACGUUGAACGUGUGGGGCCACCAUUGAACCUGAAACACAGACACACUGCGCAACAGUAAAUGCACGGCUCCUUUGUGUAGCAUUGCCUACAUACGGUCCAACAAGGACAAUCAAAUAACGAAUAACCUCUGAGAGUCUGUAUCUAUCAUAAAGAAUAUCGUCAGACAAUGCCAAGGGAUCGGUUCUGUCCCGAAAAACCCUCCGUCUCCGAAGAGACGCCUGUACGAUAAGUGCGCCGAGGUCCACGGGAACACCCACAAAUGGUGACGUCAUUGUCGGAGAAGGGGCUAGGAAGCUGUGCGCGACGAUUUAAAUAGCCGAUCUCCGGGUAGACUAAGCUGAAAACCUGCUCCCGACCAAGUUUGGUUGCGAGCAUAAGUCACCAUGGUGAUACAGCAACGCUAAAAGAGAUCGACUUUCGUGGUCCAGCUAACCCAGGCUUUGCGCUCAACAUACCUCGCUAACCCUCUAAUCGAGCUUCGUAGUACAGGCCCCAGGUGUCGUUUGUCUGCAAAUAACUCUGCCUCCAGCAACAGGAUUGGUCGAAACGUAUGAAGUGAAUGAAAUAAAAGCCCAGUUCACCAGAUCUGAGGUCUGAGGUAAUUAACCACCUGGAACUUGGUGCGUUUCCUGGAGCUCCGAGGACGGCAGGACGGGUGUUUACCUGGUCGAUAAGACUCUGAACCCAGAACCUAAACCCAGACAUCCUAAACACAGACCCUGAACCCAGAACCCAUUGGCGUCACUAUGCUGUUUUAUUCGGGGCUAAAGCCCCAGAUAUUAUUUAAUUAGCCCUGAGUAUAAUUUCUGGGUGAAAUAAAUAAAAGAAAUUACAAAGAUUUAUAAGUAGCCUAGCCUAGAUAGUCCAUAUGGCAAGAGAAUGAACAGUUUAAAAAUAUAACCUGUUUACCACCUCAAGUGAAUUAACCUCUCCUAUCCCCAGUCAGAUCCGUGUGUGUACGUGUGUAAGGUCUGUCUCACUUGUAUUCAUUUUACUCUGAAAUAACUUGAAUGGAACUUAAGAUGUUGGGGAUGAGCAGCACAGCAGUCAGGCAGCUGUUUAAAGCUAUGAUAAACUGUGUGUUUUGUUUAUUUAGGGAAAGCAUUAUGAAAAAAUGUGCAUGCAAAAUAAUUGCAUUUUCCCUCUGGCCUAAGCCCCGGAUGUUUAUGAAACUUAGAAACACCCCUGUUCUUUUACUGUAAAGGAGAUAGGCCUAUUUAAGUCACUAUUUGAGGCAUCAAAUGAAAUUAGACAAUCAAGCACUUACAUCACAAUCAUUUAUUUGAUACAUAUAUACACACACUAUAUAUCUGUACAUCUAUAUAGUCUGUAUAGUAUAUAUAUAGCUCUGGAUAUACCACCAUCCAGGUUGCCCAUCAGUUUGUGGAGGGAGGAUAUUAGCACACACACAACAGUGGAGUCUCCAUCACCUCUUCAUCAGUGUGUGGAGGGAGGAUAUGACCACACACACAACAGUGGAGUCUCCAUCACCUCUUCAUCAGUGUGUGGAGGGAGGAUAUUACCACACACACAACAGUGGAGUCUCCAUCACCUCUUCAUCAGUGUGUGGAGGGAGGAUAUGACCACACACACAACAGUGGAGUCUCAAUCCGUGUGUCUAAAGUAAGUUUGGUUUUCAUAAAUCCUAUCAUUACUAGUCCCAUCUUUGUCCACUGGGUGGCGCUUUAGAGACUGAUUCAACUUGUGCUCCAGCAGCUGCUCUGUGUGGAGAAGCUUUAAGGUAGAACCUUAACACUAACUUAACCUCUUUGUUAUUCACUUUAUGUCCCCUCUUUGUGGUUCCAGUCUUUACUAAAGGCCUUAGCUGUUCAACCCCAUAACAGCAAGUUAAUGAAUAACUAAUAUCUCUGACAAUUUGACCCAGUUAUAAGAUCACCUGAAGUAACUGAUUAACUAAUAUCACAGACUAUUGAGCCCAGUUGUAAGAUAAGCUAAUGAAUAACUUAUAUGUAUGACUGUAGGAGCCAAUUCCUUUGCAUCGUGUGUGUGUGUGUGUGUGUGUGUGUGUGUGUGUGUGUGUGUGUGUGUGUGUGUGUGUGUGUGUGUGUGUGUGUGUGUGUGUGUGUGUGUGUGUGUGUGUGCAUGGCCUUGUACUAACCUAUUUAAAU